GCGGAUGUGGCGAAAUUGGUAGACGCGCCAGAUUUAGGCUCUGGUUCCGCAAGGUGUGUGGGUUCGAGUCCCUCCAUCCGCA
rnacentral:tRNA from 1 species